GACGUAGGGCGCGAGCGUUGUCCGGAUUUAUUGGGCGUAAAGAGCUCGUAGGCGGCUUGUCACGUCGGGUGUGAAAGCCCGGGGCUUAACCCCGGGUCUGCAUUCGAUACGGGCAGGCUAGAGUGUGGUAGGGGAGAUCGGAAUUCCUGGUGUAGCGGUGAAAUGCGCAGAUAUCAGGAGGAACACCGAUGGCGAAGGCAGAUCUCUGGGCCGUAACUGACGCUGAGGAGCGAAAGCGUGGGGAGCGAACAGG
rnacentral:rRNA from 1 species